rfam:Oryza sativa (indica cultivar-group) chromosome 10, whole genome shotgun sequence.
UAUAAGUGCAACCAUAAGUUUCCACGUCUAAUUUAGAUCGUUCGUCUUAUUUGAAAAAUUUUUAUAAUUAGUAUUUUUGUUGUUAUGAGAUGAUAAAACAUGAAUAGUAUUUUACUCGUGACUUAUGUUUUUUAAUUUUUUAAAAAAUUUUUCAAAUAAGACGGACGGUUAAAGUUGGGCGCGAAAAAUCAUAAGUGCACUUGUA